rnacentral:tRNA from 2 species
GCGCCCGUAGCUCAGUGGAUAGAGCAUUGGCUUCCGGUGCCAAGGGUCGGGGGUUCGAAUCCCUUCGGGCGCA